rnacentral:lncRNA from 1 species
AAAUUACAGAUGCAAAGGUUUAAGAACAGACCAUUGCCUCUUUAAGUUAUCAAUUUAUACGUUAAUAAUUUAGUAACUUAGUUUCUUAAGAAAACCUUGGUGGGUACAUAUAAAAUAUAAUUAUUACCUGUGGAUUAAACAUAUUAUAAUUAAGCUACAAUUUUUUUUUAAAUGAGUGACCUAAAUAAAGCUACAAUAUAUACAAAAUCAUUGAAGCAAACCAUGCAUGACUUAAUUAUAGCUUAUUCUUGAUAUAUAUAGAUCGAUCACCAACUCUUCCCAUCAAUACUCACUUUGGUACGUAUAACAUAUACAUAAUUAAGUAGCAAUAGUAGUCAUAAGAUUUAUUAAUAAUAAUGAAGUUGCUUAAUACAAGCUACAUGAUCAGUAAUUAAUUAAUUCCUUAAUUAAGAAGAACAUGUUUGUUGUGCAGCUGCAUCUAUUUGGUCCCUUUGAAUUCCAGCAUUACACAUAUUAGCAAAUCCACGAACGUGUUUUCUGCCAUAGCUAGUCAAUGAUCCACAAUGAGACUCAAAUAUCUUCACCUGUACAUCAAUGUAACAUUAAUUUUUUUUAUACUGUCAAUGUAUAUAUGAUCAUUGUUAUAACAUAUAGACGUGUAGUAUAUACUUACAAAGGAUUUAAGACAAUCCCAAUCAUCAACAAGGGGUUGUCCAGCAGGUCUAACAAUGUUGAGCACUUCUGGACCAUUAUUAACUCCAAAUAAAAUUUGUCCAAUAUGUUUUACACUCUUGUCUACAUGUUCUCUUUCUGAUAUAACUUCACUUAGUUUCCUAUAAGCUUCUGAUUUUCUUAUAGACCCUUCCGGAGCAUUCUGAAACUGUGAAAUUGAUCGUAUAUUUAAACAUUGUUUUACGUACGUACGCACAAAAGUUAAAGUUAUGUAAGAUUAAUUAAUCACCUUGGAUAAGAGAUACAAGAGUUGCACAUCACGCUGAUUAACAUGUCUUGAGUUUGAGGGGUAGUUAUUGGUAGAAGAAGUAUGUUUUGGGGAAUUAGAACCCAUAUAUUUGGAGAGAGCAUCGUUAUGUAUAUGUAAAUCACCAUAUUCCAUUAUAUGGGAACCGUGUGUACCAUUAUUUAACACUCUUUUACGAAUCUGAUCGAAUUCAAAAAUAAAUCCAACGAGAAGUUAAGAAUUACAUUUAUAAAAUUUCGAAUCAAACAAUUAACAACUACGUACUCCCUAACUAUAUGAUAUUUGAAACUUAACAAAAUAAUUACCCGUUGAUACUGCUUCUUUAAAGUUGCAACUCGUCGAUCACGCAAAUCACUGAUUUACACAAAUUACCAAGUAUAGUUAGUUUAAUUUAACAUAUAGUAUAUCAUAUUUUCUUUUUAUGGUUUCAAUUCAAUAAUAAUGAUGUCAAAUUAAAGAAUUAAUCUAACAAACAUAUACAUACAUACCUACCUAUUCUCUAGCCAAGAAACACUGAACAAAUCUCCCAAGCAAUUAUCCUUGAAUUCUUUUGGUGGACACUCACCAUAGCAAGAUUUAUCACCACUGAAAGAACAAUACGUAGCCCAACCAUCUUCAUCGGGUUUUGAUGAAGUCGUUACAUAAAUAUUUAAACCUUCAUCAAGAAGACCGUCAAACAUGCUUCCAGAUUCACAAGCUUCCAAGUAAAAUACCUAAUUAAUUAACAACAUACGUUCAUUAUUCAAUAUCGUCAUAUAUAAUUGAUUCAAACUAGCUAGCGCUAAAAUUACUUACCAUUUUUUUAUAAGUCCUAGAAGCAUGUUUUAUCUUCAACACCUCAUUUAGUUCCGUGGCAUAGACCGGUGGUUCUACAGGCAUUGCUAAACAUGAAAAAAUUAGUUUAAUUAAAAACUUUGGUGAAAAAUAAUUUAUAUUAUAUUUUAGUUAGAGUAAGAAAUUAAAAAACUUUACCAACUACACCAGGAGCACCAUGAUCACUAUAGUAAAUAAAAAUAUAAUCAUUUGGACCACUGUUCACAACUUUUCCACUGCCUCCAGUUAGAGCACUUUUGUUUCCCAAGAUAACACCAUAAAAGUUUUGAGCAUUACAAUCUUUUCCUGUGUAAUCCUACAAGUAUAAAUCUCAUAAAAAAAAUUAAUCAAAUAUAUAUAUAUAUACACACAUUAGAUUUAAGUAAUAACAUUUUGACAAAUAAUCUGGGGGCGGAACUAGAAGUUUAAAUACGAGUUCGAUUGAAUUCAUUAAAUUUUGGUCAAAUAGUGUAUGUUAUUGACACUCAAUUAUCGUUAUAAAUUCAGAACCAGACAUACAUACCUUGGGUACUCCUUUGUACACAUCAUGACCAUGUGGGUUAUUUAUGAUAACUCCAGGUCUAGGGUUUUCAGGAUUGUAAGCAAUGUCAUCAUACAUGAAUACAAUAAUGUGUUCAUCUUUUAGACCUCCUUUCUUCAAUAGUUGAUAAGCGUGACAUAUAUUAGCCUGAAAGUAUUAGUCUAAAUUAAGAAAUUAAUCGAUCUUAGAAACAAUUUCUUUACUAUAAUAUAUAGUAUAAUUAAUUUAAAUUAAGUUAAAUAAUCUUUUGUCUUUUCAUUACAUUAUUGUUAACCAUAAGUUAACUUAUUCAACCUCAAAUAUCUUUCAAUUUUACGACAAAUUCGGUAUCGUGCUAUGAUCUCUGGGUAGGAAGAAAGUCAUUACCAACUCGUUGAACAUUGAACAAAUAUGCAUGAUGGUGGUAUCAUUAUUUUUACUUUCAUCUUGGAUGUUAUUGCUAAAGCGAUGAAUACAAGUGAUUUUCAGUACUGAUUCAUAUGAAAUUAGCAAGUGUAGUAUCACAUUGAUUAAAUAUAUGUAUAUAUUACCUGGUGUCUGUAGUUAUACCAUCCACUUGAUCCAGCUACCAACACAGCCCAUUUAGUUCCAAUUGAAUGUUCAUGAUCUUCAACAAUACUCUCGAUCACGUUACUACCCUCAACAAGUACCACAAAAAGUGCAACUAGGAAUGACGCAACAUUAAUUUUGACAAACAUUUUGAACUUUAGAAAAGUAAUUGUAUAUUUUGCUGCUUUAAUUUGAUUAGUGGUGAGUUAAUCCAUUGGCUAACACAAAUUAAAUUUAUAGAGUUUUCUAAUUGUCUUAUUCUAUGCGUGUGGUUAUGCAUUCAAUUAUGUCAAGUUGUUAAAUAUUUCUACAUUUGUUUUUUCUAGACAAAUAUAUAUACUCCCUCCGUUCCAUAUUUGAUGAGCAUUUUCUAUUUUACACGGUAAUUAAGAAAUCAUUAAUAGAUUGAUCAACUUUACUAUUUUGUCCCUUGUUCAUAUUAAUUAGCCUCUUGAAAAAAAUUGAAUCUUCAAAAUUUGUUUAAACUUCCAAAGUUAGUAAGCUGUCCAUCUAAUAUGGGACCGUGGUAGUAAUAUACUCUCUCUGUCCCAUAUUAGUUGAUCAUUAUACUAAAUAUACUUGUCUCAUAUUAUAUCACCUUACUAAAUCAAGAAAAUAUUAAUUAAUUUAUUUCUAUAUUAUCCAUGUAAUUAAUUCUUUUUGAAAGUGUUCAUAUUUAUUUGUACAAUUUCCAAGAAGUUCUUUAAGGGAUAAAUCAGUAAAAUCAUCUUCUUAUUAAUUUCUUAAGCAACUUGUAAAAUGAACUAAUUAAUAUGGGAUAAUUAAGUAGAAGUAUUACCUUGUGGGGGUAAUUAUAGUCUAAUAAUAAACGUUCAUCAAAUAUAUAGCAAAGAGAGUUGUUAGAAUUUGCCUACUUAUUUGAACAAACAAACGACAUUUUUUUUAAUAUAUAAAUGGACAAAUAAUUUAUGACCUUACUCCAUUUAUUAAUCCUUAAAUUCAGUGUAAUUAGUUAGAGGAUAUAUAUGGAGUAGUAUGUGGAAUACACUUCUCAAAUAAUAUAGGGAAAAUUAUGUGAUAAGACUGUUUUUAAGACUUAACUAUAUAAAUAAUAGUAGUCCAAUAAUUAAUCCUUAAAUUAAGUGUAAUUAGUUAGAGAAUAAUGGAGUAAUGACUAAUGGAGUGUGGAGUGAAGCUAUACACUUCUCAGUUACUAAUACACUCCCUAUCUUUAUUUUUUACUUAUUAACGAUGAAUAUUGCGUUCUCCUUUAAUUUUAAAAAAAUGGAGUGCAUAUUAUAUGACUAUUAAUGAUUCAAAAAUUCUUGAAAAAUGAUUUAGAGAAUAAGCAAACAGGUAAAAUAGAAAAACAAAAUCUCCUAAUAUGAUAAAGUGAACAAGUAAAAGUAAACUACGAGAAUAUUUUAUUAUUGUUGUCUAAAUUUAAUUGAAUAAUUCUGUUAAUUUAAUUUUUAAAAUAGUUUAUGAGUAAUUGAGAUGCAUAUACAACAAAUAAUCCUACAAAAUUUAUUGUUUAAACCUUUUUUUAGCUCUUUCCUGCAAAUUCUCAAUUUUUUAGUUAAAUCCUUAAUCAAGUAUAAGUUGUAGAAGGAAUCCAUAUUUUUGGGGAAUUCUGAUUCACUUCUCUUCUUUCUUUCUUUAAAGCAAAGUUGGGAAGUGAAAUGAUUUUCAUCCUUUAAUCAAUAAAGCUCAUAUUGAUCGAUAUUGUGAUUUGCCUAUUUUGCUUUAAGUUAUACAAUUGUUAAUUCUAUUUUACAUGUUUUUAUAAUUAGGUUAAAUGUUGUUUGAUUUCAUUUUAACUUUUUUCUUUGGUGCACCCAAUCUUCAAAAGUUUUUUUAUUUAUGAUCUAAAACUUGAACACCCUUCGUAAAAUUUUUGACUAUGUCUAGGUAUUGUGUGCAAUGUAACUAUUCAUACUAUAUAUAAAGGUACCACUGAAAAUUGUUACAAAGGACAAGAAUACACAGAGAAAAAGAUGAAACUUGCUCUAUACAAAAAAUACACUAACUUUCAUCCAGGAUAAAAUUGAAAGUUACAACACCCUUUUAAUAUCAAAAAGUAUUAUAUAGUGUUAUCUUACAUAAAUAACAUGAAUUUACCACAUCAUGUCAUUUUCAUAAGAGAAUUUGUGUUUCCUAGUUAACCUUUCACAGCAGUUGAGAGUUAACUCCAUUCGAAAUCUUGGACAAUCUCCAUUUGAUGGCUCACAAGGAUAGCCAAUAAACCCCAAACAGAUUGAUCAUACCGAACGUCCGAACCCUUAAUCACUUCAUCGACUGCAAAAACCAGAUCAUUCAAGAUGUCCCUUCUCUUUUCUUUUUUGUUUUUUUUCGAAAGAGUGCACUGAUUAGCACUAACAUUGCCCUAUACAACAGUUACAAGAGUUGACAUUCAAAUUACAGAUGCAAAGGUUUAAGAACAGACCAUUGCCUCUUUAAGUUAUCAAUUUUCUCUUUAGCCUUGACCGACAGUAUUUUGGUGUCUUCAAUCUUACCUACUUUUUCUUCUGCUGAAGGCAUUGUGCGGUUAGCCUUUACAGAUAAUUCAAGUCUUUUCUCUAGAAUUUCAGCCUUCCUCUUCCUAAGGAACAUAAGCAUAGUUUCCAUUUCUUCUCUUCAGCCUCUUCUUGAUCAUACUUUAACUUCAAUUCCAUGUCAGUGUUCCUCAAGUCAUCUAAAGUUUUCCUGUGCUUCUCAAGAUCAAUGAAGAAGUCUUGGCAACUAGACUUGGUCUGGCUUGCGUCCCUCAGGUCUUGAACCAUCGAAGGGAAUAUAUGUUUGAUCUUUACCAACAGCCUGGCUUGUUCAUCAGAGAAUGACGAGGGAUUCUCGUUCAGUAGGCUAAUUGCUUCCUUCAAUAUCUUUUCAUUAGCUCGGUCCGCCAACAUCUUCAAUGGUCCUCCAACAAAAUGUUUCACUGUUUCCUUUGCAGACUCCAGAUUAGAAUUUGGUGUACCUGAUAGUGAACGACAAUGAUCCUUCGGGAUAGACUUUAGGAAUGAUUCUACUUUGUGGAAAGUUGAGUUCACAUCUUGAAUUAUUGUUGGAGUUCGAUUCUGAUUAGGUACAGAUGUGCUUUCCUCGGGUCGAUCCUGCUUCAUGCAUAGGAAGAGAAGGAAGAUAAAUCCAGGAUAACCAUAUUAAAGAAACUGUCAGGAUGACUUACUACCUUUUCCAAAGAAAGAAAAUGACUGCAAAAAGAAUUUCGACAAUCAGCUUGAGGGGUAGUGGCAUUUUCAAUAUCAGAAGAUAUUUUCCUUUGACCUUGUACCAUGUCCUCUAGUGGUCCCACAGUGUCUGAAGAUGCUGGUGGAGUUGCUUGUAGCAUG